rnacentral:rRNA from 1 species
AGAGUUUGAUCUGGCUCAGAGCGAACGCUGGCGCAUGCCUAACACAUGCAAGUCGCACGGUCGGGGUUAACUCCGGCAGUGGCGGACGGGUGAGGAACGCGUAGGGAUCUAUCCACGGGUGGGGGACAACCGCGGGAAACUGCGGCUAAUACCGCAUGACGAGCUUGGCCGGAGGGCCAGGUUCCAAAGUUCGCAAGAGC